UACGUAGGGGGCGAGCGUUGUCCGGAUUCAUUGGGCGUAAAGAGCUCGUAGGCGGUUUGGUAAGUCGGGUGUGAAAACCCCAGGCUCAACCUGGGGACGCCACCUGAUACUGCUAUGACUUGAGUCUGGUAGGGGAUCACGGAAUUCCUGGUGUAGCGGUGAAAUGCGCAGAUAUCAGGAGGAACACCGGUGGCGAAGGCGGUGAUCUGGGCCAGUACUGACGCUGAGGAGCGAAAGCGUGGGGAGCGAACAGG
rnacentral:rRNA from 1 species